CUUAAGUUAAGAAUUUCCUUAGUAAACACUUAAGUUAAGGAAACUCCGCCCUUUUUUAUCUAAGUGGUAUGCAUAAAAAAUCUUAAACUAAGUAUUUCCUAAGUAAAAUCUUAGUUGUUUUAAGUCCAGCCCACAAAACUUAAGUGGUAUGCAUAAAACUCCUUAUACUAAGGAAACGCCUAAGAUAACACUUAAGUCUAAGGUACCUAUAGAGCUUCCUUAAAUUUUCAAAAAUAGUUAAAAAUCAAUCGAAAGUAUGCGUUUUUUGC
rnacentral:lncRNA from 1 species